rnacentral:misc_RNA from 1 species
CAGGGAUAGAAACGGAAAGCCCGAAGUGCGUGGGACUUGCGCGUGGCCGGACUUGUAGUGGAUAGCCCGCCCGAGG